rnacentral:rRNA from 1 species
UAGUCCACGCCGUAAACGAUGAUAACUAGUUGUUUGUGAUACACAAUAAGCGACAAAGCGAAAGCAUUAAGUUAUCCACCUGGGGAGUACGUUGGCAACAAUGAAACUCAAAGGAAUUGACGGGGGCCCGCACAAGCGGAGGAACAUGUGGUUUAAUUCGAUGAUACGCGAGGAACCUUACCUGGACUUAAAUGUAGGUUGACAUGCUUAGAGAUAGGCUUUUCUUCGGACAAUUUACAAGGUGCUGCAUGGUUGUCGUCAGCUCGUGCCGUGAGGUGUUGGGUUAAGUCCCGCAACGAGCGCAACCCCUAUUCUUAGUUGCCAGCAUGUAAUGAUGGGGACUCUAAGGAGACUGCCGGCGUAAGCCGCGAGGAAGGUGGGGACGACGUCAAAUCAUCAUGGCCUUUAUGCCUAGGGCUACACACGUGCUACAAUGGUGACUACAGAGGGUUGCGAAACCGUGAGGUGGAGCUAAUCUCAGAAAGGUCAUCCCAGUUCGGAUUGAAGU